GGAGAGGUGGGUGAGUGGCUGAAACCGGCGCCCUGCUAAGGCGUUGUACCCACUUCGGGUACCGCGGGUUCGAAUCCCGCCCUCUCCGCCA
rnacentral:tRNA from 1 species